CCUAGCCAGUCUCCCCUCCUGCAUGGCCCAUUCUUUCUCUUAAUACUAAAUUAAUCUGGAUGGUUACUUAUUUUAUUGUUCUUUAUCUAAGAUCGUAAGAAUCUUUUUAUCCAUCAAUCAGCUGUAUUCCUGGAUAUCACCAACUGUGGAAUCCUCCAACAUCUCUCAGGUCAUUCCCAGUAUGUGAACAGCCAGGAACAUGAUUUGGAUGCCAUGCUACACUGAUGAGAGAGAUGUGACAGGACUGAAGUUUCUUCAGGCCAAGAUCUUUCCUUACCCAAGGAGUCAGUAAGACUAAGAACACUGCAAGAUGCACCACUUCAUGAACGUCCAUGGAGUCUCAGGAACACAACACUGCGAGCAUAGCAAAGAUCUCUACAAAUUUGACCUUUUCAGAUAGAGGCAGCUCUCCAGGAGUGACACACAGGCUGAGAGGAAAAUGCUUGUUCACUGUAUCCAAACUGACUGUGAUACGUUAACAUGGAAGUGCAUAUCCAAUAUGCCUUUUCUUAGUUAUUACUCAUUUUAUGCUGAACUCAAUGUGAGAUUGAUUUGGUUUCAUUCGGUUUCAUCAAGUAACAGAGCUUUUAAAGCUCAAAGGAACCCUUCAUAGCCAGUUUCAACAUUCUGUCUCUGUGUCAGAGUCCUCAGCAGAACGCAGUCUCUGUUCCUUUGCUUUCUUCCUCAUUCAGAGUCCCAGGCAGAGGCCUCAGCUACAACUUGUUGUUCUGAUUCUUCAGCCUCUUCCUCUCACACAGAGCAGUCUGUGAUGUGCUGCUCCCCAGACAGCAGUGCAGGAGGGCAGCUGGGCCUCCUCAGGCAGGGAGGUUUGUGUUCGGGCUGUAGCACCGGGGCAGGAUCAUGUGUACCUUGCACACUGUAAUAAACUCCAGCGCCCUCAGCCUCCACCCUGCUGAUUUUGAGAAUGAAAUCUGUCCAUGACCCACUGCCACUGAACCUGUCAGAGACCCAAGAUUCCUGAUCGGAAACCUGAUAAAUCAUUCUUCGUGGAUCCUGGCCUGGUUUGUGCACCACCCAGUGCAAAUAGGUGUUUCCAUUGCUGUGAAGGAGACUUUGACUGGCCCUGCAGGACAUGGAGGCUGGCUCUCCAGGGGUGACAGAGAGGGAUAGUGGGGUUUGGGUCAAUACAACAUCUCCAGAGGAUCCUAAAAUGAAGAAAGAAAAGUAAGUGCAACUUCAGAUACAAACAUCAUCAUGCAUUUUUACCCUGUUCUCUUUUUUGUAAAUGUCAAGCUUAACUAUUAUGUAAUUUUAAUAUAAAGGGAACUGAUAUUAGUUUUGAAAUAACUCACAAGAUCUAAUCACAAGGAUUCCUCUUGAAUUCAUCUCCCUACCCAUAUCUUUCUUUGUGUCACUCUUCAUGAGAGGCCUACUCCUGAGGCUUUAGAAAUUUUCUUAAUUCCCUCAUAGAAAUACACACAUCCAUGCUUCACGUCAGGGCUGCACAUCUCAGGUAUGCACAGAACUCAUCGAGGCAGCAGUUUGACCCAGAAAUUCACCCCUUCCUCCCAUACCCUUCCUCAUCUCCCUGUGUCCUUACCAGUGAUCCAGAGCAGUAGCACCCCCAGGAGCUGAAGAGGGAGCCUCAUUUUGCGAAAUUGAACUGAGAUUUCUAAUCAGUCAGGGCCAAGUUAGAACCAGAAUUUAUCUGAGACUUGCUUGGGAAGGUCUUUCCUGGGGAGAAAAUGCAAAUUCCCUGGUGGGUGCAGUGGUGGAGAAAGCGUAAAGCACAUGGUUUGAGGUUUCACAUGUGAGCCAAGUAUUAUAAAAUUCCUUCUGCAUUUUGAGCAAGCAAUGCAGCUAAACUACAUGCUGUGUGCAGCAGUGGGUACAGGGAUCCCUAAGAAAAUCCUCACCUCCAGCAGGGACACAGUGCUCAGGGCUCUGCCCUUCCCAGACAGAACUGCAGUCCCUAUGAUAUGGGAGUGUGUGCAGAUCAGUCUCUGGGAGGGGAAAAGUCUUGUGCUUCUAGGCCUCCUGGAAGGAAAGGAAGUGAUUUUCACUUGAUGAGAAUGCAUUUUUAGUAUUUUCUAUCAUUAACAGCCUGUAGCAGAGCUGUGAAGCCCUUCUGACUAGGUGAACUCUCAUCAUCUAGAAAGAAGAUGAGAAACAAUAUUUUCCUUUAUCUAGAAAUUAAACAGCAUAAGAGCACUAAAGUCAACACAAUACGAUACAGAGAUAAAGUAACUGUCUUCUAGCUGGAGGGAAGUAACUCUUUUGAAGGCAAGACUAAAAGGAAAAAAUAUGCCUUAUAUAAUUCACAUGAAAUUAUUUGUAAGUAGACUUAGAAAUUGGUAAAUAUGUAAUCAUGUCUCUCCCUGUAGAUAGUAUAAUAUGAUAUCUAUCUAUCUAUUUAUCUAUCUAUCUAUCUGGUUUAUUAAAACCUUUAUUAAGAAAAAAGAUUUCUCUUGAUCUUGUGCAAAGUGAAUGCAGAAUAAUAUUACACUACUCUUUUCUGAGUGAUCAUAAAUCAUCCUUCUCAAUUCUACUCUUAUAACAAAUACUGAGUAGCCAUGGUCUGUAGUUUAAAGAGACAUUGUCAGUAUCAGAAUGUCACUAUUGAAUCUGAUUUUUUAAUGUCUCAAUGUCAUUUGAAUCAAUGGCUGAAACUUUCUGGACCUUAUCUAAAAUGGUCACUGUGGAAAGAAGGUCAAUUUCAUACUUUCUCCAAAGCCCUAAGAGAAUGAAGCCAUGCUGUUUUCAGUCUGUAAUGAUACUAUAUGUUUCAUGACAGGCCAAGAGCUGCAGUGUACCCUUACACAUUUGGUAAAGUGGGUUCAUGGAAAAAUAAACACAUAAGGAUUUUGUAACGUGUGCUUUUAUUGUAAAUAAAAGACUCUCUGGAUGUGCUCA